rnacentral:rRNA from 1 species
UACGUAGGGGGGCAAGCGUUGUCCGGAUUUAUUGGGCGUAAAGAGCGUGUAGGCGGUCAGGUAGGUCCGUUUGUGAAAAACUCGAGGCUCAACCUCGAGACGCCGAUGGAAACCAUCUGACUAGAGUCCGGAAGAGGAGAGUGGAAUUCCUGGUGUAGCGGUGAAAUGCGCAGAUAUCAGGAAGAACACCCGUGGCUAAGGCGGCUCUCUAGUACGGUACUGACGCUGAGACGCGAAAGCGUGGGGAGCGAACAGG